GCGGAUGUGGCGAAAUUGGUAGACGCAUUAGACUUAGGAUCUAACGCCGCGAGGCAUGGGGGUUCGAGUCCCUCCAUCCGCA
rnacentral:tRNA from 5 species